rnacentral:rRNA from 1 species
UACGGAGGGUGCUAGCGUUAUCCGGAUUUACUGGGCGUAAAGCGCACGCAGGCGGUCUGUCAAGUCGGAUGUGAAAUCCCCGGGCUCAACCUGGGAACUGCAUCUGAUACUGGCAAGCUUGAGUCUCGUAGAGGGGGGUAGAAUUCCAGGUGUAGCGGUGAAAUGCGUAGAGAUCUGGAGGAAUACCGGUGGCGAAGGCGGCCCCCUGGACAAAGACUGACGCUCAGGUGCGAAAGCGUGGGGAGCAAACAGG